rnacentral:tRNA from 1 species
GCCUUCUUGGCUCAGUUGGCUAGAGCGCAGGUCUCAUAGUAAUAUGAGUGGUUAUCACCAUGUAAUCCUGAGGUCGCAAGUUCGAGCCUUGCAGAGGGCA